rnacentral:rRNA from 1 species
GUAGUCCACGCCGUAAACGAUGUCAACUAGCCGUUGGGAACCCUAGUGUUCUUGGUGGCGCAGCUAACGCGAUAAGUUGACCGCCUGGGGAGUACGGUCGCAAGAUUAAAACUCAAAUGAAUUGACGGGGGCCCGCACAAGCGGUGGAGCAUGUGGUUUAAUUCGACGCAACGCGAAGAACCUUACCAGGUCUUGACAUCCAGAGAACUUUCCAGAGAUGGAUUGGUGCCUUCGGGAACUCUGAGACAGGUGCUGCAUGGCUGUCGUCAGCUCGUGUCGUGAGAUGUUGGGUUAAGUCCCGUAACGAGCGCAACCCUUAUCCUUAUUUGCCAGCGGGUCAUGCCGGGAAC